GACUGGAAUUAUGACUCAUCCGACGAGGACUACAGCUAUGAUGAAGAUUCAGAUGGGCAGGUGAAGAGGAAAAGCAAGCACCCAAGAUAUAACAAUGACACCGAAAUACAACAUUUUAGUUUGUCGAUGGUGUUCAGAAGCAAGAACCAACUUUGCAAAGCUUUGAGAAGAUAUGGAAUAGUCGCAGAAAGGAGUAUUGAGUUCUUAAAAUCAGAGUCAGAUAGAAUGAGGGCCAAAUGUGGAUGGCCUGGUUGUCCUUGGCUACUAUAUGCAGCAAAAAAUUCAAGAACUUCAAGAAUGCAAGUGGUUACCUUCAAUGAUGAACAUCAUUGUGCUCAGAAUAGGCAGAACAAACUUGUGACUGCUAAAGUGAUUGCACAAAGAUAUGAACACUUCAUACUAGCUAAACCAAUGUGGAAGAUUGACAGCAUGAAAGCAACAGUUCUCCAAGAUAUGUUUGCCGAUGUCUCGACUUCUAAGUGUAAGCAUGCAAAAGAGCUUGUCAUGGACAGAUUGAUGUGUGGUAUGAAGAACGAAUACACUCGAGUGUUUGAUUACCAGUUGGAACUAUUGAGGAGCAAUCCUGGAAGCACUAUUGCUGUAUGUUUGGACCCACCAACAUGGAUCAAAACAUAUUUCAGAGUUUUUAUGUUUGCUUUAAUGCAAUGA
rnacentral:rRNA from 1 species